GCGUCGGUGGUGCAACGGUUAAGUACGUGCUCCCGAAAAGAGUAAGAUCUGGGUACAAAUCCCGGUUGACGCA